rnacentral:lncRNA from 1 species
UAAUAAAAUCAUAGUGAACCAAUCCCUUUUACUAAGAAAUAAUUUAUUUUUGGUUUACUUUGAAGACUGGAUCAUUGUCCUCACAGAACUAUGGCAGUAGACACAUAAAUAACUCUUCAUUUUGCUUGUUAAGGUCUCCUUUUACUCCUUAUCACAAACCUUAGAUUUUAGGGACUCUUUAUACUACCAAAGCUUUCUAUUUGUGUGACCUUAAUUUUCAAGCUGCAGGCCCCAAGAUCUAGUCCAUUGUAUUUAAGCAAUCCAUUUUAUGAGGAAAUAACUGAUUUCAGGUGUCUUUACAGGGUUCACAAAGUAAUUCAGGCAGCAGUAACCGUGAUUGUGAUCAGAGUUCAUCCAAUUGUGCAGGCAACAAGGUUAUCGUUGCCCGGGAUACAUCUCGUGCUCUAAGCAGAAGCAGUUACAAUGGACAGAAUGAAUCCUCUAGCACAAACAGCAGUAGUGCCAAUGUCCAGGUAAUAACACAUUCUCUACUGAAUUUAAAAUCUCCUCCCAAAAUGCUUCCUAGUAAAUGAAUGUUCAAGUUUCAGAAAUUACCUCCACUUGUGGUGUACAGUGAACAUGGUUACAUAGGGAUUGAAGUUAUUUGAUGAUGAACUGAUUUGGAAUGUCACCUUCUGAUCAGAUCUAAACUCCUACAUGAAUUAUCUCAUCUUCCUUAGAAUCUCCAUCCUUCAUACUUCCACAGCUGAUAAAAGCCUGUCUA